AAAUCGCAGAGAACGGCGGCGGCCGCGCUCCCAUUCUUCCUGCCUCUCUCUUGCGAGACCGGCAGCAGGCAGACCCGAUCCCCCUCUUCGUCAAAACUUUCCGUCCAGUGGAUGGAUGAUUGAGGUUUGGCCAACCGCAGGCUAGAUCGAGGAGCGUCGCCGGAGGCGGGACGGGGGCGGACGAGGUGCAUCGGAGGCGAGCUUGCUGCCCCUUCCAGCUCCGGCGGCGUGCGCGUCGCGGAGCGGGGGAGGCGCCGGCGGCCUCUCGAUCGGGGAAGUCGGGAGGGAGGCCCCUACCUAAUUUUUUUAUAAAAACGGAACCGAAGGAGUUAGCAGUACAAAUCCCAGAGGCGGUACUGGGGAGGCUGAGAACUGCCAAAAGAAUACAGCAAUUAGAGGAGUUACAAAGGAAGAACAGAAAAAAGGAAAAGAAACAAGAGGAAGGAGGAGGAAGCCGAUGCUAUUACUGCCUCACUAUGAUGGGAUCUCUCCCUUUGCAGUUUUGCACUCUCCAUUCAUCUUGUUUUUUGUGUGCAAUCUAGCCCAGAAUUGGUGCAUGUGAUAUCUGUUCUAGAUCGUGUAAGCUAGGUGCUUGAUGAAAUGCUUAGAAAAAGUGAGCAGAGUAUCAGUUUCAGGAUGAGUGUAUUUAUGCAGUAUGAGACGAUCUGACAUUCAUGUCUUGUAGUGUCAACUUUGAUGAGGCUUCCUUCUCAUAAUCUUCUCCAGAUGCAGAUCAAAUGAGAAAGCUGCACCGGUGGAGAAGCUUGAACUUGCUGUUGCCACGUGAGAUCAAAUUAUUGUCUUGUAUGUUUAUAUAUAUGCUCGACCCAUUCAGUUCAAGGUGAGUGGUGAUCUUGGAGCAUUUGUUGUAAGAAGUGCUCCAGAUUCAUUCUUGGAUUCACAAGGCAAGAAAGUCUGUCCAAAGAGAGGCGCUACUUCAUCUGGAUGGUGCUUGCAAUUGCAGGUGCCCUCGAUGAGAGUCAUACAAACUGAAGCCGAAUGUGUAGACUAGAAGCCAUGAAGCUCGGUCACUCCAAGUCUGACCUCCACGCUCCUAGGAUAAUUUUGUUGCUAUUCUUUCUACAAUAGAUGAAGGCCUUGGCGUGUACAGAUCGAGAGAAAAAUGAACCGAAAUGUGACCUAUAAUAGCAACUCUUGAUGGAAUUCUGGACUUCUGUU